CUACAGGUAGAUAGGGGCUACAGGUAGAUAGGGACUACAGGUAGAUAGGGACUACAGGUAGAUAUGGACUACAGGUAGAUAGGGACUACAGGUAGAUAGGGACUACAGGUAGAUAGGGACUACAGGUAGAUAGGGACUACAGGUAGAUAGGGACUACAGGUAGAUAGGGACUACAGGUAGAUAUGGACUACAGGUAGAUAGGGACUACAGGUAGAUAUGGACUACAGGUAGAUAGGGACUACAGGUAGAUAUGGACUACAGGUAGAUAUGGACUACAGGUAGAUAGGGACUACAGGUAGAUAGGGACUACAGGUAGAUAGGGACUACAGGUAGAUAUGGACUACAGGUAGAUAGGGACUACAGGUAGAUAGGGACUACAGGUAGAUAUGGACUACAGGUAGAUAGGGACUACAGGUAGAUAUGGACUACAGGUAGAUAGGGACUACAGGUAGAUAGGGACUACAGGUAGAUAGGGACUACAGGUAGAUAGGGACUACAGGUAGAUAGGGACUACAGGUAGAUAGGGACUACAGGUAGAUCGGGACUACAGGUAGAUAGGGACUACAGGUAGAUAGGGACUACAGGUAGAUAGGGACUACAGGUAGAUCGGGACUACAGGUAGAUAGGGGCUACAGGUAGAUCGGGACUACAGGUAGAUAGGGACUACAGGUAGAUAUAUGGAUUUAGAUCAAUAAUCAUCAAAAUAACAACAACAGAUUAUUAUUAUUAUUAUAUUCAUAUUUUGAAUUCAUGUACCAUAUUCCUGACAUAAAGUAGGGGUGUGUGGGUAGUUUGACAUAGGGGUGUGUGGUAGUUUGACAUAGGGGUGUGUGGGUAGUUUGACACAGGGGUG